rnacentral:rRNA from 1 species
GACGAACGCUGGCGGUGUGCUUAACACAUGCAAGUCGAACGGAUCACAUGAUUUCGGUUGUGUGGUGAGUGGCGAACGGGUGAGUAACACGUGAGUAACCUGCCCCCUUCUCUGGGAUAACUGUUGGAAACGGCGGCUAAUACCGGAUAUUCACUUUCUCUCGCAUGGGGGUUGGUGGAAAGUUUUUUCGGUGGGGGAUGGGCUCGCGGCCUAUCAGCUUGUUGGUGGGGUAGUGGCCUACCAAGGCUUUGACGGGUAGCCGGCCUGAGAGGGCGACCGGCCACACUGGGACUGAGAUACGGCCCAGACUCCUACGGGAGGCAGCAGUGGGGAAUAUUGCACAAUGGACGAAAGUCUGAUGCAGCAACGCCGCGUGGGUGAAGAAGGUCUUCGGAUCGUAAAGCCCUGUCAGGAGGGACGAAACAAAUGACGGUACCUCCAAAGGAAGCACUGGCUAACUCCGUG